UCGUUGCCUUUGGAAAAACACGACCGGCGCACACGUGACAGAAUGCUGCUGCGGAGGUGCUAGCUCGGCUCAGAUGCCUCCUCGGCCCCACCGCCCUCGGCCCUCUCGCCCUCCGGGCGCGUUGGUCGUGGGUCGGAAUACGGCGCGGGAUGACGCGCCAAGGAACACGAGAAUGCCGAGGCACCGGUCAGCCGCUCCAGGGUGGCGCCGGCUGCCAAAGGCUAGUAAUUGAAAAAA
rnacentral:misc_RNA from 1 species